GAUAAGUUUUUACAGUAUUAAUUGUUUUACAUAAAACUUUGUAUCAUUAAAUUUUUAAAAAUUUAUUUAAGUUGUUAAAUUAAACUAUUUUCCCAUGUUAUAAAAAUAUGUUGUAUGUUAAUCUGUCUAUCCGAUCAUCAUAUCUAUAGCAUCAUCCACAGAAGAACUUCCAAGAAAGCUACCUGUCUAUAUGAGGUUAGGAGUUUCUGUAAAGAAUGUACAUAAGAAAUCAAAGAGAGAGAGUAGUUCUUCGCCAUCUGAAGAUCAGCAUCACAAAGAGAAGAGAAUUAAAAUCAUUAAAUGUUCAACUUCGGAUUGCGAAAAACAGAGGAAAGUCACCUUCUCCCGUUCUGAUGAUGAAAGAUGCUACAACAAACAUCACAAAGAAAAUUCUAUUAUAGAACACAAGAAAAGAUCUACAGAAAAGAAAUCAGGGAAAAAAGAAAAAAGAUCUCACUUACACAGGAAACGGU
rnacentral:lncRNA from 1 species